rnacentral:tRNA from 1 species
GAGGGCAUAGCUCAGUGGGAGAGUGCAUGCUUAGCACGCAUGAGGUCCUGGGUUUAAGCCCCUGUACCUCUG